UAAAAAAUGCAUCAAAGAAGUCUUCUGGGGGAAACACUUCUGGGUGUAUGGCAAAUUUCUCUUUUAUGGAGGUCAGCAGAGCAGUGGGGAGCUGGGCUGCAGGGCUGUCCCAAGUGAGCUGGAGGAAGAAGGAUUGGACGUCCUUGUUUAAAGAAGAAAAUGCGUAUUUGAGGAAAACAAUCAACUCGAUGAAGAGGAAGGAGGAAGAGAAGCUGAACACCUAG
rnacentral:lncRNA from 1 species